GAUGAACGCUGGCGGCGUGCCUAAUACAUGCAAGUCGAGCGAACAGACGAGGAGCUUGCUCCUCUGACGUUAGCGGCGGACGGGUGAGUAACACGUGGAUAACCUACCUAUAAGACUGGGAUAACUUCGGGAAACCGGAGCUAAUGCCGGAUAAUAUAUUGAACCGCAUGGUUCAAUAGUGAAAGACGGUUUUGCUGUCACUUAUAGAUGGAUCCGUGCCGCAUUAGCUAGUUGGUAAGGUAACGGCUUACCAAGGCAACGAUGCGUAGCCGACCUGAGAGGGUGAUCAGCCACACUGGAACUGAGACACGGUCCAGACUCCUACGGGAGGCAGCAGUAGGGAAUCUUCCGCAAUGGGCGAAAGCUUGACGGAGCAACGCCGCGUGAGUGAUGAAGGUCUUCGGAUCGUAAAACUCUGUUAUUAGGGAAGAACAAAUGUGUAAGUAACUAUGCACGUCUUGACGGUACCUAAUCAGAAAGCCACGGCUAACUACGUG
rnacentral:rRNA from 1 species